rnacentral:rRNA from 1 species
GACGAACGCUGGCGGCGUGCUUAACACAUGCAAGUCGAGCGGUAAGGCCCUUUCGGGGGUACGACGAGCGGCGAACGGGUGAGUAACACGUGGGUGACCUGCCCUCAGCUCUGGGAUAAGCCUGGGAAACCGGGUCUAAUACUGGAUAUGACUCCAUGACGCAUGUUGUGGGGUGGAAAGCCUUGUGCGGCUGAGGAUGGGCCCGCGGCCUAUCAGCUUGUUGGUGGGGGUGA